rnacentral:rRNA from 1 species
GAUGAACGCUGGCGGCGUGCCUAAUACAUGCAAGUCGAACGCUUAAGGAAGGAGCUUGCUCUUUCCGGAUGAGUUGCGAACGGGUGAGUAACGCGUAGGUAACCUGCCUGGUAGCGGGGGAUAACUAUUGGAAACGAUAGCUAAUACCGCAUAACAGUAUAUUUUGCAUGAUAUCUACUUAAAAUGUGCAAUUUCUCCACUACCAGAUGGACCUGCGUUGUAUUAGGUAGUUGGUGAGGUAACGGCUCACCAAGGCGACGAUACAUAGACUACCUGAGAGGGUGAACGGACAAAAAGGGAAGGGGAAAAGGCCCAGAAGGAAAGGGGAGGCAGCAGGAGGGAAACAUGGGAAAUGGAGGGAAGACUGAACGAGAAAAGCGGGGGGAGGGAAGAAGGGUGUCGGAUCGGAAAGAUCGGUUGAAAGAGAAGAAAGAGAGGGAGAGUGGAAAGUUCACAGUGUGACGGUAGCUUAACAGAAAGGGACGGCUAACUACGUG